AUUGAACGCUGGCGGCAGGCCUAACACAUGCAAGUCGAGCGGCAGCGGAAAGUAGCUUGCUACUUUGCCGGCGAGCGGCGGACGGGUGAGUAAUGUCUGGGAAACUGCCUGAUGGAGGGGGAUAACUACUGGAAACGGUAGCUAAUACCGCAUAACCUCGAAAGAGCAAAGUGGGGGAUCUUCGGACCUCACGCCAUCGGAUGUGCCAGAUGGGAUUAGCUAGUAGGUGAGGUAAUGGCUCACCUAGGCGACGAUCCCUAGCUGGUCUGAGAGGAUGACCAGCCACACUGGAACUGAGACACGGUCCAGACUCCUACGGGAGGCAGCAGUGGGAAUAUUGCACAAUGGGCGCAAGCCUGAUGCAGCCAUGCCGCGUAGUGUGAAGAAGGCCUUAGGGUUGUAAAGCGACUUUCAG
rnacentral:rRNA from 1 species